AACUAUUUAUCUAGCAUUCACAAGGCUGUGUUACUUCCCAGCAUCUUGGAGGUUCUAGGGAAAUGGCUCCAUCGCUUCUACGGAACCAGGGCUGGGCACAGAGCCAGAGCAAAGAGGAUUUCCUCGCAGUGGAGGAGAAGCGAAGAAGCAGGGGUCGGGGUGGGGUUCCUAUAAAAUCCUCAUGGUCAGUGUCUGUGGCCUCUGUCCUUCCACUGUGCCCCACCCUCUAGAGUUUCCACCGCUCCCAAAUACCAGCAGCAGGCAACCAAGACUGAACCUUCGGGAGACAUUUCAGAUCCAAACCAUGACAUCAAGCAAACAUCGCAUGUUCUGCUCCACAGCGCUCCCAACAGAAGCAGCUUGAGGGUCCCAGUGGAGCCCUGGUGUCUGCACCUCCCCAAACCCUCUCUCGUCAGUGACCGCCUACACAGCGACUCCACUUCUGAGUGCUCUUUCAGCGCAUGCUCUGGCUUUCCAAGCUUGCCUGGGAAGAAAAAUGUUGCUAUAAUUGCAAGGAGCAUCUUCUCAGCUGAAAAUCAAGCUUGUAGUAAACGUGCUCAGCCCGUCUGAGUCGGGAGCUGUCUGUGAACGCACCCCUGCAGGACGAGGGUGGAUGGCUGGCUCAAGGGACUCUAACCAAGGCGUGUCCACCAACACAGGGUAAAAAUGGGCCUAACUCCAUCUAAGAACUCCAGGGCACAACUGGAAGUCUGGCCAGGAGCCAGACUUCACCCGGGGCCUCCCACCAGCGUCAGUAGCUGGUUAACCCUUGUCAGAUGGCUUACCUCAGACCAGGCUGUGUAUCCUGGAGGCCUGGAAAUGUCUGAAAUCUCCAUCACAACACUGCAUCUCUGGUCUCCUAACCUGGGGUUAAGCUUUUCAGCAGGGGCCAACUGGUCUACCCCAGGAACUCCAGACCAUGAACAAAAGUCCAGCCCCACCUGCUAGAAACCAUCGCUCUCACAGGGAUGCAAUCAUCAAACAGGAGUCCUUAGAGAAUGACAUGAAAUAAGCUUCCACAUGAAAAUGUAUUGAGGAAACUUCCUGUAAACCCAGGCACCUAUAUAACCCAGCGAACACAGGAUACAGAAAAGUCCUCCUGCUCCUCCUGCUUGCUCAUCUGGUCAGGAAUUAAUAGUAAGAUAUUUGGUUUAAAUAAAGACAUCUUGGAAAUUGA